rnacentral:lncRNA from 1 species
AGAGCAGCCAAAGCGCCCAAUGUGGUGCUGGUCGUGAGCGACUCCUUCGAUGGAAGGUUAACAUUUCAUCCAGGAAGUCAGGUAGUGAAACUUCCUUUUAUCAACUUUAUGAAGACACGUGGGACUUCCUUUCUGAAUGCCUACACAAACUCUCCAAUUUGUUGCCCAUCACGCGCAGUAAUCGUGUGGAAGCGUGGACAAGAGAUGUUGCUUUCUUACUCAGACAAGAAGGCAGGCCCAUGGUUAAUCUUAUCCGUAACAGGACUAAAGUCAGAGUGAUGGAAAGGGAUUGGCAGAAUACAGACAAAGCAGUAAACUGGUUAAGAAAGGAAGCAAUUAAUUACACUGAACCAUUUGUUAUUUACUUGGGAUUAAAUUUACCACACCCUUACCCUUCACCAUCUUCUGGAGAAAAUUUUGGAUCUUCAACAUUUCACACAUCUCUUUAUUGGCUUGAAAAAGUGUCUCAUGAUGCCAUCAAAAUCCCAAAGUGGUCACCUUUGUCAGAAAUGCACCCUGUAGAUUAUUACUCUUCUUAUACAAAAAACUGCACUGGAAGAUUUACAAAAAAA